rnacentral:misc_RNA from 1 species
GUGAAUCAUCAAAUCUUUGAACGCAAAUUGCACUCCCUGGUAUUCCGUGGAGCAUGCCUGUUCGAGGGUCGUUUGUACACAAAUCGACGCGUCGCUCUUUUUUUUUUAGGGUGAUCGCGUCGGCUUUGAGCUGUUUUUUAAUUGUUCUAUCAUGCCAAAGUGGCUUGAAAUUCAUCCAUC